rnacentral:lncRNA from 1 species
GGUUAGUGUAUUAACCAUGGGUUAGUGCUAAACGGCAAAAUUAACGAGUAUGUUACGGUGUUAACAAUCUUGAUAAUGGCGUUAAAGAGCCAAAGUGACAUGGACAUAUGGGCUUUCGUAGAGUUAUUAAAAGAGCAAAAAAAAUUAGUUUGUGUUUUUUUAUGGCCACUUUUAAAAGUUGUGUAUUAAGUUGGAAAUAAUAAUUAAAGUUGUGUAUUAA